rnacentral:lncRNA from 1 species
GAGAGGUGGAGGUUGGUGGAUGGCGGGGAGGGAGAUACAUGGCAUGGACGGUAAAGGCAGCAGGAAGGGCUGCACACAGUAGCUAGGAAUGGAGAAGAGCAGUGAGGACGACUGUGAAGAGGACGGUACAGUGGGGAGAGUAGGGGUAGCAUCUUUUGCAUGAAAAAAGGAUUCAUCUUCUUUGGCACCAAAAAGCUAUUGGAUCAUACA